rnacentral:tRNA from 1 species
UUCUAUAUAGCUCAGUCGGCAGAGCGCAUUGUAUAAUGAGGUCGGCGGUUCGAGUCCGCCUAUAGAAACAA